rnacentral:rRNA from 1 species
GAUAUCCGAAUGGGGAAACCCAGUAUCCAAUGGAUACUAUCAUUAACUGAAUCCAUAGGUUAAUGAGGCGAACCGGGAGAACUGAAACAUCUCAGUACCCCGAGGAAAAGAAAUCAACCGAGAUUCCCCCAGUAGCGGCGAGCGAACGGGGAGCAGCCCGGAGUCUGAAUCAGCUUGUGUGUUAGUGGAACGGUCUGGAAAGUCCGACGGUACAGGGUGAAAGUCCCGUACACGAAAGCACACUUGCUGUGAACUCGAAGAGUAGGGCGGGACACGUGGUAUCCUGUCUG